CAGCCGCCGCGGUAAUACAGAGGGUGCGAGCGUUAAUCGGAUUUACUGGGCGUAAAGCGUGCGUAGGCGGCUUCUUAAGUCGGAUGUGAAAUCCCUGAGCUUAACUUAGGAAUUGCAUUCGAUACUGGGAAGCUAGAGUAUGGGAGAGGAUGGUAGAAUUCCAGGUGUAGCGGUGAAAUGCGUAGAGAUCUGGAGGAAUACCGAUGGCGAAGGCAGCCAUCUGGCCUAAUACUGACGCUGAGGUACGAAAGCAUGGGGAGCAAACAGGAUUAGAUACCCCUGUAGUCCCUGUCUCUUACAC
rnacentral:rRNA from 1 species